GACGAACGCUGGCGGCGUGCCUAAUACAUGCAAGUUGAGCGCUGAAGGUUGGUACUUGUACCAACUGGAUGAGCAGCGAACGGGUGAGUAACGCGUGGGGAAUCUGCCUUUGAGCGGGGGACAACAUUUGGAAACGAAUGCUAAUACCGCAUAAAAACUUUAAACACAAGUUUUAAGUUUGAAAGAUGCAAUUGCAUCACUCAAAGAUGAUCCCGCGUUGUAUUAGCUAGUUGGUGAGGUAAAGGCUCACCCAGGCGAUGAUACAUAGCCGACCUGCGAGGGUGGUUGGCCACAUUCGGACUGAGACACGGCCCAAACUCCUUCGGGAGGCAGCAGUAGGGAAUCUUCCGCCAUGGACGAAAGUCUGACCGAGCAACGCCGCGUGAGUGAAGGAGGUUUUCGGAUCGUAAAAAUCUGUUGGUAGAGAAGAACGUUGGUGAGAGUGGAAAGCUCAUCAAGUGACGGUAACUACCCAGAAAGGGACGGCUAACUACGUG
rnacentral:rRNA from 1 species